rnacentral:rRNA from 1 species
GCGCCAGACUCCUACGGGAGGCAGCAGUGGGGAAUAUUGGGCAAUGGGCGCAAGCCUGACCCAGCAACGCCGCGUGAAGGAAGAAGGCUUUCGGGUUGUAAACUUCUUUUGACAGGGAAGGGCAGAAGACGGUACCUGUCGAAUAAGCCACGGCUAACUACGUGCCAGCAGCCGCGGUAAUACGUAGGUGGCAAGCGUUGUCCGGAUUUACUGGGUGUAAAGGGCGUGUAGCCGGGCUGACAAGUCAGAUGUGAAAUCCCAAGGCUCAACCUUGGAACUGCAUUUGAAACUGUUGGUCUUGAGUAUCGGAGAGGCAGGCGGAAUUCCUAGUGUAGCGGUGAAAUGCGUAGAUAUCAGUAGGAACACCGGCGGCGAAGGCGGCCUGCUGGACCGUGACUGACGUUGAGGCUCGAGAGCGUGGGGAGCAAACAGGAUUAGAUACCCUAGUA